GAUGAACGCUGGCGGCGUGCCUAAUACAUGCAAGUCGAGCGAACAGACGAGGAGCUUGCUCCUCUGACGUUAGCGGCGGACGGGUGAGUAACACGUGGAUAACCUACCUAUAAGACUGGGAUAACUUCGGGAAACCGGAGCUAAUACCGGAUAAUAUAUUGAACCGCAUGGUUCAAUAGUGAAAGACGGUUUUGCUGUCACUUAUAGAUGGAUCCGCGCCGCAUUAGCUAGUUGGUAAGGUAACGGCUUACCAAGGCAACGAUGCGUAGCCGACCUGAGAGGGUGAUCGGCCACACUGGAACUGAGACACGGUCCAGACUCCUACGGGAGGCAGCAGUAGGGAAUCUUCCGCAAUGGGCGAAAGCCUGACGGAGCAACGCCGCGUGAGUGAUGAAGGUCUUCGGAUCGUAAACCUCUGUUAUCAGGGAAGAACAAAUGUGUAAGUAACUAUGCACGUCUUGACGGUACCUAAUCAGAAAGCCACGGCUAACUACGUG
rnacentral:rRNA from 1 species